rnacentral:rRNA from 1 species
CCUACGGGAGGCAGCAGUGGGGAAUAUUGGGCAAUGGGCGCAAGCCUGACCCAGCAACGCCGCGUGAAGGAAGAAGGCUUUCGGGUUGUAAACUUCUUUUCUCAGGGACGAAGCAAGUGACGGUACCUGAGGAAUAAGCCACGGCUAACUACGUGCCAGCAGCCGCGGUAAUACGUAGGGGGCAAGCGUUAUCCGGAUUUACUGGGUGUAAAGGGAGCGUAGACGGAAAGGCAAGUCAGAAGUGAAAACCCAAGGCUCAACCAUGGGACUGCUUUUGAAACUGUCAAACUAGAGUACGGGAGAGG